GAGAAGAAAAUGUGUACUUUAGAGGGCUUACAGACACAUAUGUCCCUUUUCCUAACCUUCCCAAGUGAUCAAGAGGAAAUGAACAAGAUAGUCAUUGUUUUCUUACUAGGGUAAUGGUUACAUCAACCAAGCUGGAUUUUUUUCUCUAGCAAGUGGCCGGUACGCAGUUGAUUUUCCUACAGAUAUAAACUUGCUGCAAGCCACCCUUUUGUUCCCUCAUUUCACAGAGCACAAAGGUUUCGAUGUCUUUUCCCCCUUUAAGGAAGUCUUUACCCAUAGAAGUGUCAUGUUUUUCUUUUCCUGCAAAAGAAUCCCAGGGUGAAGGGGUUAAAUGAGUCACGCAAAGCGAGGAUCACCUGCUGUGCUCAUUGCCAGCAGAGAAGCCUCGCCAGUCACCGGGCUGGUGCGCCGGAUUGUGCCGGCCCUGUGGUCCCAGCAGCGGCCCCAUCCUUCCCGUGAUAGUCCUGAAGAGAGGCAAAGAGGUGCUUGUCCCAUAGACCCCCGCGCUCUUCUAUCACCCAUCAGAGAGGCCUUUCUUAAACAGGGGUACAAUGUAAAAUUUGUUUGACUUUGAAAGUAGGUGAGUUUGUUUCGUUUUGCUUCUCUGAGCACGUCUGUGCAUCACGGACAUCGUGUACGUCGUCGGCCUCAACCCCACUUCCUCGUGCUGGGCCACCUCCCUGAGCAUCUCCAAGUUUGUUUCCUGGCGCUUUAACCCUCCUCUGAUCGAUAGCCGGGUGCAGCUGAAGAAGACGUUUCCUUCUCCAAGGCCGGCCUAGGAGAGGCACCUGCCCACCUGCGAUGACUUGGAUUUCCUUGGGUCACGUGAAAGCAGAAUGCAUGUGAGACAGUCUUUCCUCAGUGGCUUUGUACGGAACGGCCGGGAAAGUCCUCAGCUGCUUUCCGUGUCCUUUCUUUGAGUUUAAUCUUUUUCUUUUUUUUUCCCUUUCAGUAAGAGCUCUUGACUACAGUGUUUCCAAAACUAGUGCUUUCCUUGACCAGCCAGAUCCACGGCUGCCAUUUCCUCCUAGAAACUGUGCUGCUGGGUUUGGUCUACUUUUUCCACUCAUUUCUAUGCAAAUGGGCUUCACAUUGAUGAAAUGUAAAAUUUUCCUUGUCACCUAUGUUUACUAAAGAUCGCCUUUAAUCCCUUUAAUCACAGUUGUCAUUUAGUAUCAGAAACGAUUUGAUUGCAAGUGAUCUCACAUUUGCCAUUUACAAACUGCCCUCUUAAAAGGCACCAUUGUUUUGGAUGUAAUACGCGAAUUCUUUACGUAUAUUUCUCUGUAUGUAGCAUGGCAUGGAGUGUUGAGUACUUUUUCUUUUUUGUCAUUCUUGGUCUUUCCGUGGCCCUUCCCUGCUUUUCUUGUGUCUGUUUUCACCAUUUGUAAAAGCCUUAGCCAAACUGCUCCCAUAGCAAUGCUAGGACACUUCGUUGACCUGUUCUAAGCAUUUUGAUGAUAAAAGACAUCCUAUAAAUGCCAGUCUUAUUUUCACCAUGACUGCUUCUGUAGUGAGCUCAUGAGUAAAGUACUCACCUAGGAGAAAUAAAAUUCUUUACC
rnacentral:lncRNA from 1 species